AGACCGUGUUACCGAAGUCCCGAAAUGCAGCGACGGAAAAAGACGAAGCCGGUUGCUAAUUUUGGUGGGUCCCUGUUUGCCUUUUGGAGAAUCACGGGAAAAGCCCAAAUGACAGGACGAACAGCUGCAGUCCCGAGCAGCGAAGACCCGAGGCAUAAAUAAUUUUCGGGGUGCUGGCACGGCGAUGCAAAUUCAUCUAAACGGACGGGAGGCUGAAUUUUAAAGUUGGUCGGUGCGCAGCCAUCUGCUGAAGUGCUCGCAGCUUUGCAGAUAAUCCGAGCUCUGUUCGUUUCCCCAAAAUAAUAUAUGAGACAGGGCGUGAGUUUUUUUUUUGUUUUUUUUUUUUGUUUUUUUUUCCUAGACAUAACGAAAUCAAGCUAUCGAAGAGAGAGAACCGUGUUAACCAGGGGCGCUGGGAUACGUGAGAGCCGAUAUCAGAUAAUAAAACUGCCGUGCAGCAAAAUAGCGGGCAGUUAUUUAGAACAACAACAAAAUUGCAAAUUUUGAGGAACAAAAAGUACAAUGCAAAACAAACAAUACAGUGCAAUACAAUACAAAGUUAGCAGCUACUUCCCAUCUUAACGGCUGCAUGUUUCAAGCGACGGAAGGAGAAGUUGCACAUGGAGCGAUCAAUUCUGUGUUAAAACAGCUCGGGCAGAGAGCUCUGGAGGACUGAGCUAUUUGGGUUGUGUCACUAAUGUGUUUUAAUCAGAUUUUUUUACGAGGCUGGACGGGCGCUUCGCCAUCGACCUCAAUGGGACUGGAUCAGGCCCUUUGCAUCAGGCCCUCAGCCCAGGGAGGUACUCCCAGGCCCAGGAGCCAGAUCCUGCCGUGGAUUGCAUUCCCUGAGAGGGUUUUCAGGACUCUCCAGUGGAUUUAUGGCAGGCUGGCUGGGAAGAAAAUGCAGAUUUCUGUGUGGGAGCAGAAAGCAGCCCCAGAUUUGAGGGCAUCUCCCAAGGAUUCAAGAAGAGCACCAUCAGCUGUGUUAAUAACAGUGAUGAAUGGAAAGCACAGUUUGUUGAGUGGGCUCCAGCAGGCCUGGGAGUGACAUGCUGUGGCUCCACUCUCACUGGCAUGGGGUGAUGUGCUGUGGUCAGUCCAGGACCCCUGGGUGUUCCUACUACCCAGAAAAAAAGAAUGCAGGAAUAUUUUAAAAAGUCCAUCCCCUGCUAUUGAGCUCUAUCAUCUUCCUCAAACUUUAUCUCAGAAAUGAACAACCAUUACAAAGCUGGGCUAGCUUCUCAGCCUGCAAAGAUCCCUGUUCCUUUCUGGAGCAUGGUGAAGUACCUGCUAGUGCUCACACAGGCUUCCACCACUCUGUGGGGCUCUAUGGGGUGACACAGCCUCUUCUGCCUUAUUUAGGGCACCUUGAACUUUAGAUUUGGUGGGCUGGGAGAAAACCUCUCCCAUUCAGAGCCAUUAGCUCCAGGUUUUGCCUGACUGAAUCUGCUCCCCUAGAUUCAGGUUUUUGUUUGUGUCUCCCCCCCAAAAAAAAGCAAAAACAAAACCAAAAACUUUUGUUGCAUCCACACAGUCUAAAAAGUAAACAAAACAAACCCCCAAAGCUAGAGGCUGAUGUGGUCAUAUGGCUGCAAGUGCUGAGGUGGUUAUAUGCUGUAUUUCUGAGGGUUUCUAAUCAUUCAUGUUUACAUCUGCAGGGCUCUGCCUGGGCCCUUCCAUGUGUUUUGAUGAGGAAUAUUUUGCACAGACUGGGAGACAGUAAAGUGUAUCUGGGGUUAGGGCUACCAGAAAGAUUUUAUCUCAGAUUUAAUGUCAAGGGAAGAAUAAAACCAACAUCAAUUAUACA
ensembl:lncRNA